AUUGAACGCUGGCGGCAGGCCUAACACAUGCCAGUCGAGCGGAGCGGCGGACGGGUGAGUAAUGCCUAGGAAUCUGCCUGGUAGUGGGGGAUAACGUCCGGAAACGGGCGUUAAUACCGCAUACUAUCAGAUGAGCCUAGGUCGGAUUAGCUAGUUGGUGGGGUAAGGGCCUACCACGGCGACGAUCCGUAACUGGUCUGAGAGGAUGAUCAGUCACACUCGAACUGAUAAACGGGCCAGACGCUGACGGGAGGCAGCAGUGGGGAAGAUUGGAUAAUGGGCGAAAGCCUGAUCCAGCCAUGCCGCGGGUGUGAAGAAGGUCUUCGGAUUGUAAAGCACUUUAAGUUGGGAGGCGUUACCAACAGAAUAAGCACCGGCUAACUUCGUGCCAGCAGCCGCGGUAAUAC
rnacentral:rRNA from 1 species